UACGUAGGGUGCAAGCGUUGUCCGGAAUUAUUGGGCGUAAAGAGCUCGUAGGCGGUUUGUCGCGUCGGCUGUGAAAACCCGAGGCUCAACCUCGGGCCUGCAGUCGAUACGGGCAAACUAGAGUGUGGUAGGGGAGACUGGAAUUCCUGGUGUAGCGGUGAAAUGCGCAGAUAUCAGGAGGAACACCGGUGGCGAAGGCGGCAUCCUGGACCGGCAUUGACGCUGAGGAGCGAAAGCCAGGGGAGCAAACGGG
rnacentral:rRNA from 1 species